AUGACGAUUGGGGGCUCUGUGGACUGGAAGGGAAACCCCAUCGACAGAGAGGUGCAUGGAGGAGUGAGAGCAGCAUGGUUCAUGUAUGUCGCGAAUGUGGUUAUGAACAUGGUUAUUGUCCCAAACCUGCUGAAUCUGGUUACCUAUCUCCACGGAACAAUGCAUAUGGGGGUCUCUAGCUCUGCAACUACUGUCACCAAUCUUGUUGGUGCUACAUGCGGGUUUGCAUUAAUAGGAGCUUUCCUCUCAGACUCUUACAUCAUGCGCUCCAGAACUAUACUCAUCUUUGGUCCAUUGAUGUUUCUGGGCUAUGGGUUGCUCGCCCUACAAGCAUACCGACCCUCGCUCCAUCCUGCGCCUUGCAACACUGAAGCAGACCUAAGCAGCUGCAAAGAGGUCCAUGGCCGGAACGCCACCUUGCUGUACGCAGCCUUGUACAUCAGUGCAUUUGGCGAUGGCUGUAUACGUACGUGCAUACCAUCCCUCGGAGCAGACCAGUUUGACCGUAAAGAUCCUUCCGAGUCCCGCCAGCAGUCCAGCUUCUUCAACUGGUACACUUUCGGGGUCUCCCUUGGAGGCUUUAUCGGGCUGAUCCUCAUAGUGUGGCUCCAGAACUACAAGGGGUGGGACGUCGGGCUUGGGGCCUGCGCCAUCCUGGUUCUGUUUGGGUUGCUCGUUGUUGCUGUCGGUCUCCCUUUCUACCGCAACCAAGUGCCGGAAGGAAGCCCUCUUACUCGAAUACUGCAGGUUCUUGUGGUUGCAUUAAGGAACAGGAAUCUUGAACUUUCUGAGAAGCUGGAAGAAGCAGAGGAUAGCCGUACUGGGACUGGGACAGGGUUUGUCCAAGUACCACCUCAAAGAAAAAGUCUGAAGUUCCUCGACAAAGCUUGCAUCCACCACGGCAAAGACGGGGAUUGGUCAGUUUGCAAUGCGACGAAGGUGGAGGAGACGAAGAUCGUGCUCCGCGUGCUCCCUCUCUUCUUCAGCUCCAUGAUCGCGUACGUAUCCAACACGAUCGUCUUCACGUUCACGGUGCAGCAAGGUGGCAUGACCAACACAAGUCUGGGCAAGAUCCACGUCUCCCCUGCGACGCUCUUCAUCAUCCCAAUCACAUUCCAGCUGAUAAUGCUGGCCGUCUACGACCAGUUCAUCGUGCCGUUCCUGCGAAAGCGCACGGGCUACGUGGGCGGCAUCGCUCAUCUGCAGCGCAUCGCCAUAGGCUUCGCCUCCAUGAUACUCGCCGCGGUCAUCGCAGCGGUCGUCGAGAAGAAAAGGAAGGAGGCGGUAGUGCAGAUGUCCCUGUUCUGGCUCGCGCCUCAGUUCUUCCUGCUUGGCGUGGCAGACGUGACGUCGUUCACCGGGCUCCUGGAGUUCUUCAACAGCGAGGCGCCACGGGGCAUGAAGUCGAUCGCCACGGCGUUGUUCUGGUGUGAGCUCGGGCUCGCGUCGUUGAUGGCCACAUUCCUGGUGGAAAUCGUGAACAGGGCCACGAGGCACGGGCAGCAGGGAGGCUGGCUCGAGGGGAAAAGCUUGAACAACAGCCGUCUUGACCUGUUCUACUGGGUUGUGGCUGUUGUCGGGUUGCUUGGUUUCUUGAACUACCUUUACUGGGCGAAGAAGUAUGUAUACCAGCACAAUCCACGCAUCGCUGAGCCGUCGGUUGACGAGGACUCACCUUGA
rnacentral:rRNA from 1 species